rnacentral:lncRNA from 1 species
ACAGUAGAAUCCCGAGAGCAUUUGGAGCAGCCUAUUAGACGACUGAAGAAGCUCAUCGUUGGAGAAGUCCGGGAGAUGCGGCAGGGGUUCGUCCGUCGGAGAAACCUGGUCGAUACUUACGGAAGAAGCUGUGGGAGUUUAUCCGUCAGCAGAACUUGAGAAUGUUGCGGAAGCUCAACCGCCGGAGAGAUUCAAAAAUAUGUCGCCC